UACGUAGGGACCAAGCGUUGUUCGGAUUUACUGGGCGUAAAGGGCGCGUAGGCGGCGUGUUAAGUCAGCUGUGAAAUCUCCAAGCUUAACUUGGAACGGUCAGCUGAUACUGAUGUGCUAGAGUGCGGAAGGGGCAAUCGGAAUUCUUGGUGUAGCGGUGAAAUGCGUAGAUAUCAAGAGGAACACCUGAGGUGAAGACGGGUUGCUGGGCCGACACUGACGCUGAGGCGCGAAAGCUAGGGUAGCAAACGGG
rnacentral:rRNA from 1 species